GAGUGGACGCAUCACUGGUGUUCGGGUUGUCAUGCCAAUGGCACUGCCCGGUAGCUAAAUGCGGAAGAGAUAAGUGCUGAAAGCAUCUAAGCACGAAACUUGCCCCGAGAUGAGUUCUCCCUGAGACUUUAAGUCUCCUGAAGGAACGUUAAAGACUAUGACGUUGAUAGGUCGGGUGUGUAAGCGCAGCGAUGCGUUGAGCUAACCGAUACUAAUGAACCGUGAGGCUUAACCUUACAACGCCGAAGGUGUUU
rnacentral:rRNA from 1 species